rnacentral:rRNA from 1 species
AACGAACGCUGGCGGCAUGCCUAACACAUGCAAGUCGAACGAGACCUUCGGGUCUAGUGGCGCACGGGUGCGUAACGCGUGGGAACCUGCCCUUAGGUUCGGAAUAACUCCCCGAAAGGGGUGCUAAUACCGGAUAAUGUCUUCGGACCAAAGAUUUAUCGCCUUUGGAUGGGCCCGCGUUGGAUUAGCUAGUUGGUAGGGUAAAAGCCUACCAAGGCGACGAUCCAUAGCUGGUCUGAGAGGAUGAUCAGCCACACUGGGGCUGAGACACGGCCCAGACUCCUACGGGAGGCAGCAGUGGGGAAUAUUGGACAAUGGGCGAAAGCCUGAUCCAGCAAUGCCGCGUGAGUGAUGAAGGCUUUAGGGUUGUAAAGCUCUUUUACCCGGGAUGAUAAUGACAGUACCGGGAGAAUAAGCUCCGGCUAACUCCGUG